AUUGAACGCUGGCGGCAUGCCUUACACAUGCAAGUCGAACGGUAACAGGUCUUCGGAUGCUGACGAGUGGCGAACGGGUGAGUAAUACAUCGGAACGUGCCUAGUAGUGGGGGAUAACUACUCGAAAGAGUGGCUAAUACCGCAUGAGAUCUACGGAUGAAAGCAGGGGAUCGCAAGACCUUGUGCUACUAGAGCGGCCGAUGGCAGAUUAGGUAGUUGGUGGGAUAAAAGCUUACCAAGCCGACGAUCUGUAGCUGGUCUGAGAGGACGAUCAGCCACACUGGGACUGUGACACGGCCCAGACUCCGACGGGGGGCAGAAGUGGGGAAUUUUGUACAAUGGGCGCAAGCCUGGUCCAGCAAUGCCGCGUGCAGGAUGAAGGCCUUCGGGUUGUAAACUGCUUUUGUACGGAACGAAAAGCCCUGGGUUAAUACCCUGGGGUCAUGACGGUACCGUAAGAAUAAGCACCGGCUAACUACGUGCCAGCAGCCGCCGUAAGAC
rnacentral:rRNA from 1 species